UACAUAAACUACGUCAUAGCUUUGAUGGUUUGUCACGAUAAGUUGUGCUUUGAUGCCCAUUAGCACAAAGACUUUUUGUCACUUUGAUGCGAUACCCUUCCGUCACUGGCAGCUCUGACGUCACUACGCAGCGCCACAAAGAGUGUUUGGAAUAAAUACUUAGAGACAUAUUAGUUAAAUUAAAUGAGUUUUGAAGUGAGAAACCUCAAAUGGAACAGAUGAGUUUGUCUGACCGUGUCCCUAUAAACAUAAAGGCUUUGCUCUGCUUCACUUCACGCACAUCAUUUUCAGAUGUUGUGCUAUGGAUUGUCUGAUUGUCCUUUUGGGGAAUUAACACAACUCUUUUGGCGGCCGAAGCAGGAAGACUUCAGAUGAGGUCGGACUUCAGUGUCCACACCGUGUCACGCCAGGCCUCGGCCUGUGCUCUGGUCAGUCUGAGCGAGGUAGUCUUGGAUGCGAAACGGCCAUGAUACUGUAAUUCCCCUUCCACUUGCAAACGAAGGAUCCACAUGAAGAAAAAGAAACUGCUGACUCUUCAGUUUGUUGCACGCAUGUUGUGAUUUGGGGCUAUACGAAUAAAAUUAAUUGAACCG